rnacentral:rRNA from 1 species
UACGGGGGGGGGGCAAGCGUUGUUCGGAAUUACUGGGCGUAAAGGGCUCGUAGGCGGCCAACUAAGUCAGACGUGAAAUCCCCAGGCUCAACCCAGGAACUGCGUCCGAUACUGGUUGGCUUGAAUCCGGGAGAGGGAUGUGGAAUUCCAGGUGUAGCGGUGAAAAUGCGUAGAUAUCUGGAGGAACACCGGUGGCGAAGGCGACAUCCUGGACCGGUAUUGACGCUGAGGCGCGAAAGCCAGGGGAGCAAACGG